UUACCUAGGCUUGAAAAUCAAGUUAAUCCCGAUGAAAGUCGGGGUGCCGCAAGGCGAGCUUGUACAGAUGCUGCAUGGCUGUCGUCUGCUCGUGCCGUGAGGUGUUGGGUUAAGUCCCGCAACGAGCGCAACCCCUGUUCUUAGUUGCCAUCAGGCAAUGCUGGGCACUCUAAGAAGACUGCCUACGCAAGUAGUGAGGAAGGUGGGGACGACGUCAAGUCCGCAUGGCUCUUACGCCUAGGGCAACACACGUGCUACAAUGGCUACUACAAAGGGCUGCAAUACCGCAAGGUGAGCCAAUCCCUAAAAAGUAGUCUCAGUUCGGAUUGGAGUCUGCAACUCGACUCUAUGAAGCUGGAAUUGUUAGUAAUCGCGUAUCAGAACGACGCGGUGAAUACGUUCCCGGGCCUUGUACACACCGCCCGUCAAGCCAUGGAAGCUGGGGGUACCCGAAGUUACCUUUAAUAAGUACCUAAGGUAAAACCAGUGACUGGGGCGAAGUCGUAACAAGGUAGCC
rnacentral:rRNA from 1 species